AACGAACGCUGGCGGCAUGCCUAACACAUGCAAGUCAAACGAGACCUUCGGGUCUAGUGGCGCACGGGUGCGUAACGCGUGGGAACCUGCCCUUAGGUUCGGAAUAACUCCCCGAAAGGGGUGCUAAUACCGGAUAAUGUCUUCGGACCAAAGAUUUAUCGCCUUUGGAUGGGCCCGCGUUGGAUUAGCUAGUUGGUAGGGUAAAAGCCUACCAAGGCGACGAUCCAUAGCUGGUCUGAGAGGAUGAUCAGCCACACUGGGACUGAGACACGGCCCAGACUCCUACGGGAGGCAGCAGUGGGGAAUAUUGGACAAUGGGCGAAAGCCUGAUCCAGCAAUGCCGCGUGAGUGAUGAAGGCCUUAGGGUUGUAAAGCUCUUUUACACGGGAUGAUAAUGACAGUACCGGGAGAAUAAGCUCCGGCUAACUCCGUG
rnacentral:rRNA from 1 species